UGAUGUAUCCUAAUCUGCAAACUUUUUUAUUAUUUUUGGCUAAAUUACAGAAAUUUUUUCUAUGUAUAUCCACUUUUUUACUCUUCUUUUCAGUCUUUUGAAAAUUUACAGUUUGCUUCUUUAAAAAAUGAAAAAUAUUCAUUUCGGCCCUCGUCGUUAGUAUUCCGUUAGAGUUCCGUUUAUAUUUUAUUUUCUAUAUUCAAAAUACUACUGAAAUCCUCAUCUUUUCUCACCAACGUCCUCGGCCGCCACCUCGCCCUCGCCCAAACACAUGACCUCAUCCUUCGCCGCAGCCUUGCCCUCACACUCGCCCACCACUCUGUCCAUGUCCACCUUGAUCUUUCUCCUUAUAGUCGCCGAAAUGGAGGGCCGCGAGGGUGCUGGAGGAGCGGAGGAGCAGGCGAAGAAAAUGGAGUCGGAGGUGAAGCCAAGGAAGGUGCGAAGAACGGAGGAAGAGAGGUUGCGACUGUGGAGCGGAUUGGGGAGGAGACGAAGAGGAUGAGGGAUACUUUGGUUAUUUUGUCAUAAUGUGUCUUGCUGUAAACAUUUUUCUUUUUUUAAGAGGGUAAAGUAUAGAUUUUCAAAGGACAAAGAGGAAAGUGAAAAAAGUGAGUAUUAAUAAGGAGGUUUUUUAUAAUUUAGCAUUUCUUUUUCUUUUUUUGUGACACUAUUGUCUCACCCAUUUAGUCUAAUUUAUAUUUUUAUUGAAGAAAGCAGGUAACAAACUAUUUUUUUUCUUAAAAAAAAUUAGUAAUAUACUGAAUAAUCACUUGUAUAUAUUAUUUAUAAUUCUAACACGUGAGCGCUCCGAAAGCAAAAAUUUUCUAUAUAAAACACGACGAUCCAAUUUUUAGCCAU
rnacentral:lncRNA from 1 species